UGCCCGCUAGCACAAUUGGUAGUUGCGCCGCGCUUUGGUCGCGGAUGUUCCAGGUUCGAGUCCUGGGUGGGCAGC
rnacentral:tRNA from 1 species